rnacentral:misc_RNA from 1 species
GAACAAUGGGAGAAUUGGCUAUUGCUGGUCAUGCUAGGGCGCUGCUAGAAUGGCACAAUGUGUCCAAAUUUUGUGGACACUGUGGAGGAAAAACAGUACCUGUGGAAGCAGGAAAACGGAAGCAAUGUUCUAAUCCCUUGUGCAAGAAGAAGGUUUAUCCACGUGUCGAUCCGGUAGUCAUUAUGCUAGUCAUUGAUAGAGAAAAUGAUCGUGC